GAUGAAAAACACCCAACAACCUUCAACCACCCCCCCGUCCACUCGAGCCAGGUUUCGCAAAGCACUACCAAUUCACCAAACCAGACCACAUCAUAAAUGUUUGUUUAUUAGCAUCACAAACAAAAUUCCAGCUGCAUAUUCACUUCCCAGUGAACCCACCCACCCGCCUUCAAUUCCUCCCCCCCAGCACUGAAGAAAGUGAUUUUUAUGAAAAAAAAAUUCAAGGCACAAGUUGAAAACUUGGGUGUCUGUGCAGAGCACAGAAUCAGGAGAGAGGAAGAGGGAAAGAUUCCCUGUGUAUUUAUCAAAGUUGGGAGCUUUUUGAAUAUUUAUUUCAAUAAGAUUCAGGAGGCAGAGAGAAAGAUUCCCUGUUUUGAUACCCUAGUUGGGAGCUUUUGGAAUAUUAUUCAAAAAAGAUUCAAUCUUUUUGUGGGUGCUAGACUUGGAAACGAAGAAGAGCAAAGCAACCCCUCAUUUCUCUGCCUGGCAGAAGAGAAAGAGGGAAAGGAGGAAGACUUAUGGGGAUUCUACACGACGACGUUGUGCUUCUAAGGCAAUCAGAGAAGGAAGGAGAGCCAAGUGUGAUCACUGUGAACUGCCCAGACAAGACUGGCUUGGGCUCUGAUCUUUGUCGCAUCAUUCUCUUCUUUGGCCUCACUGUAGUCAGAAUUGAUGUAUCCACGGAUGGGAAAUGGUGCUACCUAGUGUUUUGGGUGAUUGGCAAACCAAACACAAGAUGGAGUUUGCUGAAGAAGAGACUGAUUGGAGUGUGCCCUUCAUGUUCUUCAGCCUCUGGGAUUUCGUAUUACCGGGCUGAGUUGCAGUCUCCAAGACCUCCCGACGUGUUCCUCUUGAAAUUCUGUUGUUAUGACCGACGAGGCCUUUUACAUGAUGUGACAGCAGUCCUUUACGAACUCGAGCUUAUCAUAGAGAAAGUGAAGAUAUCCACUACUCCAGACGGGAAAGUCAUGGACCUGUUCUUCAUAACAGACACAAGGGAACUAAUGCAUACGAAGAAGAGACAGGAGGAUACAUACGAUAAUUUAAAAUCCGUUCUUGGGGACGCUAUGAUUAGCUGUGAAAUAGAAAUGGUUGGCCCUGAAGUCACUGUGUGUUCUCAAGGCCCGUCAUUCCUUCCCCCUGAAAUAACGGAGGACAUGUUUGACAGUGAGGUGGUUGACGAACAUCGAGGUGGAUCUCCCGCUUGUAAGAAAGCAUCUAUUGCAGUGGAUAACUUGCUGAGUCCUAGUCACACACUAAUCCAGAUUGUUUGCCAAGAUCACAAAGGUUUUCUCUAUGAUAUAAUGAGAACACUGAAGGAUUAUAACAUCCAGAUAUCUUAUGGCCGCUUCACAAUGAAAAGUAAAAUGGACUGUGAACUCGACUUAUUCAUCAUGCAAGCAGAUGGCAAGAAAAUCGUUGAUCCCAACAAAUUAAACGCCCUGUGCUCUCGUAUCCAGAUGGAACUACGUCGUCCUCUAAGAGUAGCACUGGUGAACCGAGGCCCAGAUACAGAACUACUUGUUGCAAACCCCGUGGAGUUGUCUGGCAAGGGUCGUCCCCUCGUCUUUCAUGACAUUACCCUGGCUCUCAAAAUGCUCAGCGUUGGCGUCUUUUCGGCUGAAAUUGGUAGAUACAUGGUGGGGGACCGGGAAUGGGAAAUAUACAGAGUUCUACUCGACGAAGGGAAUGGCUUGCCUGUACCAAAAACGAAGAUUCAAGAAGCUGUUUGGAAGAUGCUGAUGGGCUGGGAGUGAUGAAUGGCGAGGCGACAGAGUGAUGCACCUACCAAUCCCGAGGGUCACCUACAACUUGUGUACAGUGCCAGGGUGAUAAAAUGCCAUGAAGGGUUGAUCUCAUGCAUACAACUUUCCAGUUUUCAGUCAAGAAUCUCUUUGUAUGAAUGUGGAGAUCGAGCAUAUUGUGGAUUGAACUGAAGAAAUGACCAGAAAAUGUGUCUGAUAGGUUGCGCUUUUGUCAAUUGUCAUUAGUGCAGAUAUGAUCACUGAUCGGAAUUGGAAUAUUCAUUGCGUUUAAACUUGGUGCUCCUUCACUUCGAUAUGAAUGUUCAUAUGGGCUUUUUUUGCAUAAUAUACAGCAGCCAAAAUCUUAUAGUCCUGCCAUCAAAGAACUGAAAA